CCCUGGGGAGCUCAAAGCAAGGUCCCUGCAAUGGAUUCAGGCAUUGCUGAGAGUAGACUGGACUGUGCAGACAGGGAGCAGUUUGUCCUGUGGAGUUGGGCUGGGUUUGUUCAGGAUGCCUUGGGAGGCAGGGCUGGAGAGGCUCCUCUGUUGGCUGUAGUGGUGGAAGGCUGUAGCAGGAGAGCUGGAGCCUUCGACCUCCUGCUCCCCCCGUGAGCCCCGACGGGACCGUGCCCUUGGCAAUGGAGGGCCCCCCAUUGCUGAGUCAGCGGUUCCGGGGGCCAGGAGGGAUGGGAUCAGGAUGCCGAGCUCCGCCCAGGGCCAGGGCUGCAAAUGUGCAACCAGGGAAAGAACUGAAAGCAGAGGGAGAUGGAGGCCAAGCUCCAGCACGGGGAUGGGGGAGAAAAGACCCUGGUCCUCAGGUGGAGCUUUGAAUUCCCUGGAAAAAUGGAUCCUGUCAGACGGUUCAGGCCCUUGUGGGUGCUGGAGCGGAGACCUCUGUAAUUUAUGAUCACCUUAAAAAGUUGCAAGGACAGCAAGUUUUGACUGCAGGAUGAGGUGGGAAACAAAGUGAAGUGGUCCAGAGAAAAGCUGAGCUUAAAAUUGGUCCUGUGCCAGAGCAGCCUCGUGCAGUGCUUGUUGCUGUCCCUGAGUGUCCCAUUGCAGUGGAUGUUUCCAAGGGUGCCUUGUGCUGGGAACACUGGGGGCAGUUCCCUUUCCCUGGGCAGGGCAGGCAGGGCACGUUUCCCCCCCUCGAGGGCGGCUCCACAGUCCCACCCUCUGCCCUGGGAGCCUGGCAGAACACCUGGACCCACUGUCCUUGCCAGAGAGGGACAAGGGAUGGUUGGAUGGGUGAGGGAAUGGGUCAGGGAGUACAAGCACCAUUAGAAUGAGUAGUGCAGCACAUGGAAAGGAAGGGGGCAGUUAAUCCGCACAAAAUUCAAGCACCUGCCCAACCUGUGAUAUUUUUAGGAACUCAGAGGUGUUGUGGUCCCCAGGAAGUGUUGCCCAGGACUAGGCAGGAGACUUCAGGCUUUGUCACCCCCAGAGCAAGGGUCCAGGGGCAGGCAGUGGGCAGG